rnacentral:rRNA from 1 species
UACGAAGGGGGCUAGCGUUGCUCGGAAUUACUGGGCGUAAAGGGCGCGUAGGCGGACAUUUAAGUCAGGGGUGAAAUCCCAGAGCUCAACUCUGGAACUGCCUUUGAUACUGGGUGUCUUGAGUGUGAGAGAGGUGAGUGGAAUUCCCAGUGUAGAGGUGAAAUUCGUAGAUAUUGGGAAGAACACCGGUGGCGAAGGCGGCUCACUGGCUCAUUACUGACGCUCAGGCGCGAUAGCGUGGGGAUCAAACAGG